CAGGGCCCCCGAUUUAGCAUGGUCGACUUGCUAGGUGAACCCUCGCUUUCAUUGAGGUGACAAGGCGGCGAGUACAAUGCCCGUGAACCUUUUCCCCGCGGCAUGCAGAUCCGCGAUUACUAGCGAUUCCGGCUCCAUGUACGCUGUUGCUGCCU
rnacentral:rRNA from 1 species